CGCCUGCGCACUCCUGAGUGUGCCACCGGGACGCGCGCGCAGCUGUCUCGGCUAUUUUGUGGUGAGAAGGAAACAUUUAUUACAGUACUGUUUCUCAUGGAACAAGAACGUGUAGUUUCAUGGUGCACGGCUGCCAGAUGUUUCCCAGGUUUCAGUGUCCCAGGUAGAUAAAGGAAAAUUCGGCAAGGUCAGAAGAGAAAAGAACAGAUUUAUCAUGAAAUAGGAAUGGUAACUGUGUCCCAAGUGUACAGAAGGGGAAGAAUUGAAGUCUUUCUGGAAGAAGAUAGAUACAAUCCAACAUGAAUCAAGAAAUAGAAUUAUUAGCAUAUUCUUUCAAUACCAAGAAGUAAAUUCCAGAUGCAAUGAAGACUUUCUUUCCAGAGACAGAAUCUUGAGCCAAAAUUGAAAUCACUGGGUAAUGAAGAGAACGUAGCUUUGGAAAAACGUUGGAAUCAGAUAGCCUUGAGUAGAGAUUUCGGCCACUCCACUAAGCAGCUGUAUAACAUUCUGUAAAGCACCAUUCCAUCUGGGGCUUGACUGUGUUGUGUUUCACCUGGCGACCCCAACCCCGACACGCAACAGGCAGAAGUGUUUGGAGUCCUCCUCUGGGGUUGGUAGCCGGUAACAGUACCAACAUAGCAGGGCUUAUUAGCAGCCAAUGGUUAUUUGCAGAGGAGGUAGUUAUUUGCUGAAAGCUACUGAAGCAGUUAACCAGACUGAUGUGCCUUGAAGCUGCAAGUAUUUUCUCCAUGACCUGCCGGAGAGAUACCGCCAUCAUUUUUCUCCAGUGAAGAUGCUGAAAUUGGUGUGAAUGCAAUGAAAGCUGAGAUGCAGGUGGAGAUUCAGAGAUAGUUUUGUCAUCUUGAAAGCCAAUUAUUUGCUCCAAUGCCACAUUUCCAGGUCCAAGGUUUGAGGACAGAUUUAUCUCCUGUGAGCACGUGAAGCAUUGUAAGUGCUGUACACACCUUAGGAAUAAAAAACCAGAGCAAGAAAAACAAUCUUAAGGCUGCUCCUGAAAAUAUUCAGAAAUUAUCUUCUUUAAACCGUGCACAAAGCUCGGUUGGUGAGCCUGCUUCAGUGAAAUUGCACUAUCACCAUCGACCUAACGUCGGACUUCAGGAGGUAAAUUUUUACCUUGGUCAGUUACUAUUAGGAAAGAAACUUAAUUAAAUCGGUGACAGCAUCACCAGGGGCAGAACUCCAUGCUGGCGGUGCUAGCCAAAAACACGGUUGUGCGCGUUCUGACUUCACUUGAAAGUGAAUAUCCAUUUGGUACAAAAUUACAGACGGUGGUGCAGUGGUUGAAAGAGCAGGCCAGCAGCUGUCUGAGCCCAGAUGUUUCUGUAGCUACAGUAAACCCUCACACUUAAAAAAAUGACUAUGAUAGCUUUUAAUAACAAAAUUGUAAUAUUUUAAAAUAAAAUUUUAUGUAUGGAAGUUCAUUCUAGGAUAGAAUAUUUGUUUCUGGCCUUGCUCAGGCCAUUGGGCAUGCAGCUAAAAUGUGUAUUUUGUGCAUCCCUGCUUUACAGUGGACACAACUUAAAAUUAACAUUUGAUAUCCUAUUAAAACAAUUCCUUGGCCCCCUCUGCAGCUCUGUAUCAGCUUGUGUCCUUGUUAAGCUCUCCUCUUCUUCCCCUUCUCUGCUUUGUUCCUCUCAGGAGACAAAUAUUGGAAGUUCCUUUCAUUUUCUUAGGGGAACAGUUUGGCCCUCUCCCACCUCUGCCUUCAAAUUCAGCUAGGGCCGUUCUUCUCAUAGCUAAGGUCUUAUAGUAAGUACUGAAACAUAGAGCAACACCUUGC